rnacentral:lncRNA from 1 species
GCAGUUAGUUUUGGGGCUGGAAAUUUGAGCAGAGAGAAUGGCAGAGUCUUUUCAGGAGCCAGAAAUGCAUGUGAGGACCAAGAACUUCUAACAGUAGAGGAACUCUGGCUGGGGUAGUUGAGGGGGAGGAGAAAUGAGGAUCAAGGGGGCAUACAGUGCAUGAAAACAAAAGGUGAGGCCCAAGAUCAGCCAAAGUGAGUAAACCACGGUUACCAUGGCUACUCUUCAGUGGAGACGGAAGGAAGCCCUGUAUCCUCCCCUUCCAACCACACUACGCUGUUCCACUCCCCAUCUCCAUCUCCUGUACCCCAGACACACUCAGGCAAGCACAGCACCACCCUGGAUGACUCUGCGGAAUGCCUCUCAGAGACACGGAACUAGAAACCUAGGGGAAGAGGGACAUCAAGGCUUUUGCCUCACAAGCUGACUCUGGAACAAAGAGCCAGGCUGAGGGGCUGGAAGAAGAAACUUCCAGCAGAGCCACCCAGAUAUGCUUCCCCCACCCUCUAGACCUUCCACACCAACCAGUGUCCAGUCAGUCCACAGAGCAUCCUCCUGGGCUGUGGUGACUGAAGUUGAAGGGAAGAAAAUAUAAUAAUAAUUUUGGGCAGGUCGUCUUUCUUUACUGUAUUGGAUGGAUAUAGAAUCAAUAAAUCUAUAGGUUUAUCCCAUUUUUCUGAACAAAUUUAGAGGUCAAAGAUGAACCCUCAAGGGGACAGAAUAUGACCAGCAGGACUAUUGAUAUCGUCUGCCCUAGGCACUCCUCCUUACCCUCCUCUCCCCUAUAUUUUGGGGGCAGUCAUAUUCCUCAGCAGUCAGUUGCUCUGCCUCCAGUCCUAACUGGCUUCUGAAAAACAGUUCUGGUCCAUUCAUUCCCUGUCUCGAGACUUCCGGAGCUUCCUGACCUGUGAAUGAAAUCCACAGGCCCAUCACAAGAUGGCUGCGCUCUCCAGUCCCCGGCACCCCAGGCUGCUCUGAACAUGUGAGAGCUCCUCCCUCAAGGCCUGAAUUUUCGCAGGUCUUCAUCACACUCAGCCCGCCAUCAUUUUUUCAGAUUCAGUUCCAAUAUGUCACUCUGUCUGUAGAGCCUUCCCUGAAUCUCACAGACAAAUGCGGCAGUUCCCUUUGUGGGGGAUAUUCAUCAUGUUUUUCCUCAUUGGCCUAUGUUUUUGCCUCUUCUUGUAGAUGUCCAUCUAGGCUGGGAGCUCCUAGGGGGUAAACGCAGCCUCUCACUCACCUGGCACAGAGUCGAUGCUCAUGGAAUGAUACGUGAUGGGGAGAGUGAGUAAGUGAAUGAAUGAAUGAAUGCUAUUCUGGAAGGAAGAGGGAGAGAGGGAGCAGGGAAAGGUCAGAAGGGGGCCCAGAGUCUUCAGCACACAAUGUGGGUGUAUCACUGUGGCCAGGAACAAUUCGCUUCUCUGCCUGCAUUACUUUUUGGGAAAUGGGAGAGCUGAGGCUCAGUGUAGGCAAACUGGGUCCAGUCAGCAGGGAAGCCAUGAGCUCCACGGUUUAGGGGAGGAGUCCGGUGCUUAAGGAAGCUAUCACGUGGAAGAUCUCCCUGCCCUCCUCCUAUUGGUCUGUAUUGGUUUUUCUUCUUCACCAGUGGAGGCUUUUCUUCUCCCAGGAAGAAUCCAGAAUAGUUCAGACAAGCUUCAGGUCCGCCAGAACCGGGGAAAACAACGUGUAGGGUUUGUUUUAAAGGGCUUUUAAAUGGGGUUUGGGAGAUCCAGGUAGAUUAGAAUCUUGACUCUGCACUGGCUGUGCAAGACAGAAAUUCACCUUUCAAAACUUCUGUUCCCCAGUCUAUGCGGUAAGAAGUUUAGAUUAGCUGAUUUCUAGGGAGAUUUUGGGCAGGCAUGAUUCAGUUCCAUGAAGGGCUGUGGGACAGGACUGCACUAAGAGGUCCUAUAGAUUGGAUUCUUCAGUUCCCUCCCUUCCGCUGGAGAAUAGAGGAAUCUGCCUUCGCUGCACACUAGAUUUACCUGGAGAACAAAUGGAAAGCAGGCCAGGAUCCUGGGUGAAAUGUGGCACAUUUGAGGAGACUUCAACUUCCCUUGCCCUCCAGUGUGGUCUUUUCCCCACCCCCAGACAUGAAAGGGAAGCAGGUCACAAAGCCUUUCGGAUUAUAAAAGAAACACUUGCUUCUCACAAGGGGAGCAGCAGACUUACUCUGUACUAAAUGCCAGGAUAAGCCUCUGGCUGGGCCUCGACUGUGACCCUCCGGCCUCUUUCUACAGCUCUGCCUGGAUGGACUGGCCUAUCUCUGCUGGAUUCCCGAAGUGCAUUGUGUAGAGACAGCAACUCAGGUCAGGCUAAAAGCUCAAGCAAGCAAGCGCGCACACACACGCGCGCACACACACACACACACACACAAACACUCAGCUUCCUUAGGACAAGAUAAAAUCUUAGCAUUCCCCUCUCCCCGAUUAGGUAGGUCUCUGGGAGGACUAAGGCUUCAGGUGCAAGGCUCAGAUAACCUGCAGUGUCUCUCCAACUCUGGGAUGACAAAGACCUCACUUCCCUUUUCUGGUGUUCACACAACAAUGAGAAAGUACGGGUAGCCUGCAGAAAGACCUCUCCAUUCAUGGUCCCCCAGGGGUGUGGGUUCUGAGAGGUGGGACCAGCUGCCAGGCCCUUUCUCCAUUGGUUGAGUUCAGCAGGUAACCUGAAGCUUUGCUGAGAGGUGCAUAAAUAAAGAGUGAAACUAGUACCACCUCCUUGAAAUGGGCUGAGUCCCUCUUGCUCACCCUUGACUUGGAAAAACCAGUUUCUCUUUUAUUGUCUGUUACUAAUCUCUAUUCUAAAAAUUCAGCUCAAUUCUCAACCAUACUCCAAACUCUCUCUUUUCCAGCUACCUUUACUCCCUCUCCUUCAAUUCCACUUUCCUCUGCUUACUUUUUUUUUUUUUCUGACAGGGUCUCACUUUGUCGCCCGGGCAGGAGUGCAGUGGCUCAAUCUUGGGCUCACUGCAGCCUCAACCUCCCAGAGGCGGGGUUUCACCAUGUUGCCCAGACUGGUCUUGAACUCCUGAGCUUAAGCAAUCCACCUGCCUCGGCCUCCCAAAGUGUUGGGAUCACAGGCGUGAGCCACCGCAUCCGGCCUCAUGUUCUUUUUCAUUAAAGAGAGAAAUCAACUAUUCAGGACCGGCCCCCACCUUUCCUCAGGAGUCAUUUCUGUUCCGCACAGGCCUGCUGAACUGGGUGCUUUAUAUAGGACACUGUCAUCUCUCAAGUACCCAUCUUGGAGGGUACGGACCCCACAUGAGGGUGAGGCUCUCUGCACACUCCAGAAAAGGACCAACCACACCGAGCUCAGUUAUGGCACACACAGUGGGACCUAGACAAAGGGAGAGGGUGACCGACAUCCCAACUAGGGUCCCCAGGCAGGUGGCUGGGACACUAUUUGCAAUCAGCAAGGAACCCUGCUGCCCUUAGACUCCCCACAGAGCAAGCAGAACUUGCAGAAUGGGGUAAAAACACUCUAUUAAAGAUUUUUUAAACCUAUUUAUAUUGUAAUAAAGUAAAUGUAAAUAAAAUUUAAGUGAAGGCAGAUUGCAGAUAUUUCCGAUGCUAUACAAGAUAUAUCUCAUAGUAUGGGUGUAGAUUCUGCAAAGGUUAAUGCAGUUAAACAUAUUUGACACAUAAAAAUGUCAGAUCCAACAUUAAUCAUUCACCAAUUGUAAUUGCCUUUCUAUGGGUCUCUUCUCCCCAAGACAUAGCUUAAAACACCAGGCUCGGUAGAAAUCUGGGAGGAAAAAAGCAAAUAAUACCUCUCAGCUGUCAGGGUCUAUGAUACGCUUUGAUAGAUUUAGCACUGAUUUCAUUCUCUUUACAAUUCAGUGUGAUUGGGUGUGCGUGUGUGUGUGUGUGUGUGUGUGUGUGUGUGUGUGUGUUACUCCAUGUUUCUCCUUUUUAAGGAAGGAGAAGGUGUGGAACAAGAGAAAGUUCCUAAGUCUGAAGGAAGUCCAACCCAGUUAUGAAGGGAAUGCCAUCCACAAGCCUUUUUUAUAAUUGGCCCCUGCCUCAGGUAAAGGGGUCUCCUUUAAGGAGCCAGUCUGGCUAAAUUGGCAGAUUCUGAACAAAGCCUGGCCCUGACAAGUCUUCAGAAAAACCGGUUUUCACCUCCAGAAUGUGCCCCAG